UGGUGGCACCUCACGUAUCCGG
rnacentral:misc_RNA from 1 species